ACGAACGCUGGCGGCAUGCCUAACACAUGCAAGUCGAACGCUUGCCUUCGGGUGAUAGUGGCGCACGGGUGCGUAACGCGUGGGAAUCUGCCCUUAGGUUCGGAAUAACAGCUGGAAACGGCUGCUAAUACCGGAUGAUAUCGCGAGAUCAAAGAUUUAUCGCCUGAGGAUGAGCCCGCGUUGGAUUAGGUAGUUGGUGGGGUAAAGGCCUACCAAGCCGACGAUCCAUAGCUGGUCUGAGAGGAUGAUCAGCCACACUGGGACUGAGACACGGCCCAGACUCCUACGGGAGGCAGCAGUGGGGAAUAUUGGACAAUGGGCGCAAGCCUGAUCCAGCAAUGCCGCGUGAGUGAUGAAGGCCCUAGGGUUGUAAAGCUCUUUUACCCGGGAAGAUAAUGACUGUACCGGGAGAAUAAGCCCCGGCUAACUCCGUG
rnacentral:rRNA from 1 species